GGAAGAGAGAGAGAUAGCGAGAUGGCUAUAAACAGACUCAGGGAAGAGAGAGAGCAAGAUGGCUGUAAACAGACUCAGGAAAGAGAGAUAGCGAGAUGGCUGUAAACAGACUCAGGGAAGAGAGAGAUAGCGAGAUGGCUAUAAACAGACUCAGGGAAGAGAGAGAGAUAGCGAGAUGGCUAUAAACAGACUCGAGGGAGAGAUAGCGAGAUGGCUAUAAACAGACUCAGGGAAGAGAGAGAGAUGGCUAUAAACAGACAUAGGGAAGAGAGAGAGAGAGAGAGAUGGCUAUAAACAGACUCAGGGAAGAGAGAGAGAUAGCGAGAUGGCUAUAAACAGACUCAGGGAAGAGAGAGAGAUAGCAAGAUGGCUAUAAACAGACUCAGGGAAGAAGAGAGAUAGCGGUGUCUGUCUGGGAAUAAGUGAUACCUUGCUGAGAUCCCACCUUCAAAUACACACCCCCUUACCUUUCCUAAACAGUGGAUUUGCCUAUUUGCUCAUACAAUUUCCAGUAUUACAAGCUUUUUGGCCUGGAGAAAAUCAAUGCCAUGCAUCUAAAUAUAGCCCAUUCACUGGUGGACUUGGU
ensembl:lncRNA